CAAGGGGUGAAAGGUGGCUUCAAGCAGGGCCUGGGGGGGUCUCCAGGUAGAGCCAAGGGGUGAUGGGUCUUCCAAGUAGGGCUGGGGAGGGCAAGUGGGUCCCCUGAGAGGGAACCUUGGGCUGGGGGGGCCAUAAGCAGGGUCUGGGGGAGCAGGGGGGUGGUCCCCGGCUGAAGGAGCCUUCCCCGGGCCUGGGCCGGCACGGGGGAAAUUGGUGUGCGAGGGAGCCCCCGGCUCUCUCCCGGCUCUCUCCCGGCUUCCUGCGGAGCGGCGCUCUGAGUUUAUGCAUAAAUGAUCAAUGGGACUAGUGGAUGCUGAUGUCUCCGAGAUGCUGUCUGCAGCUCUAAACCAGUGGCUUGACCCUUCAUCCACGUCAUUAGUGCUGAUGGCUGUUGCAGCCGUCACCUGCUGAAGAUGGAUCUGCAGUUGGAGACCUGGAGCUGUGUGUGGAGCAGGAUGGAGGCAAUCCAGCUGUUCCGGGUUAAAAAAAGAACAUCUCAGGGUGGAAUGAAAAGGCCACCACAAGGAUAAUACCUUAAAAUGGAAACUCCCCCUUUGUUGGGAUUUCAAUAGACUUUUCUGGCCGCAUUUUGCCCAGACUUUGAGGGCUCAACUCUCUUUUCUGAGCUUCUUUGCAGGCAUCUCAAUCAACGCUAUCAUUGUUCUCUUCCCUCUCAAAGUGAAUAUCUCAUGAAUAAUGUACCGUCUGCCUGAUGAAUAUGCACGUUGCUGGUGCGCUGGGAGGGCUGCAUCAAUUAUUCAUGCCCAGAAAAUGUUCCUCACCUUCCAACUGUGCAGGAACGGUGGAAAAAAAAAAUAUUUACCCUUGAAAGAGGGAGGGAUGAAGGAUGGAAAACUGCCCAAGGAACGGAGAGCGAAGUGGGUGAGGGUUCCAUGUGGGAACGGUAGAGCACCACGGUGAUUUAUGAGGGGGUGAACCCAAACAUCUUUCACAGCCCCAACCCUGCAGAGCCUGGAGCUCGCUGAGCAGCUUGAGAUUCACUGAAUAAAAUCAUGGAAUGGGUUGGGUUGGAAGGGAUCUCAAAGCCCAGCCAGUCCCAACCCCUGUCAUGGGCAGGGACACCUCCCACUGGAUCAGGGGCUCCAAAGACACAUCCAACGUGGCCUUGAACCCCUCCAGGGAUGGGGAAGCCACCACUGCUCUGGGCAACCCGUUCCAGGGCCUCACCAUGCUCGGAGCAAAACAUUUCUGCCUAAGAUCUCAUCUCAAUCUCCCCUCUUUCAGCCCAAAACCGUUCCUCUCAUUCUCUGCCCUCCCUGAUCCAGAGCCCCUCCCCAGCUUUCCUGGAGCCCCUUUCCGGACUGGAAGCUGCUCUAAGGUCUCUCUGCAGCCUUCUCUUCUCCAGGCUGAAUAACCCCAACUCUCUCAGCCUGUCUUUGUACAUGAGGUCCUCCAGCCCUCGGGUCAUCUCUGUGGCCUCCUCUGGACUCGCUCCGACAGCUCCAUCUCCUUCUUGUGUUGGUGACUCCACAACUGGACACAGAACUCCAGGUGGGUCUCACCAGAGAGGAACAGAGGGGCAGAAUCCCCUCCCUCCCUGCUGGCCACACUGCUUUGGCUGCAGCCCAGGACACAGUUGGUCUCUGGGCUGUGAGCCCACUUUUUUGGCUCAUGUGGAGCUUCUCCUCCCCCAGCACUCCAAGUCCUUCUCCUCAGGGCUGCUCCCAAUCCAUUCUCUGCCCAGCUUGGGUUUGUGCUUUGCGUUGCCCUGACCCAGGAGCAGGACCUUGCCCUUGUUGAGCCUCACCAGGUUCACACAGCCCCACCUCUCCAGCCUGUCCAGGUCCCUCUGGAUGGCAUCCAUGGAACCUAUUCAGCAGCUCUUGGCUUUGGCCCCUGGUUUGUGCCUUUUUCCACACUCCUGAUAGCAUUUCAGUGGAAACUCUCUGCGAGGCAAGGAACGCAAGGAGAAAUUCUUUCUACUCGGUGGAGCUGAGCCCUUCAGAAGGAACCUGCUUUCGGAUCCAUUGGAAUGGGUCUUCUUUGUAUUUUCAUCACUGAUGACCUCCUCAAGUUUUUGUCCACUUCGAGUCCCAAGAGGACAAAGGCUCCAGUAAACAUCUAAAAGCUCUGAAAAACGAGAGCAUGAGGCACCUUGUGUUUAGAUGUAAACCUGGAGAAGUCGAAUUGACUCCUAUCUGCGCACCAGCGGACUUUGCUUCCCACACCAGGUGUUUCUGGGUGGCAGCAAGGGUGGCUUCCGAGGAGCCUGGUGUAACUUCACCCUGUGCUGAUAACACACGAACCAGAUAAUAUCAUCCACACCGCCAAGCCUGCGAUUUUGGUGGAACAAAGGGGUUGCAACUAGAUGGUCUUUAAAGUCCCUUAGAACCCAAACCAUCGUAUGGUUCUAUGAAAGGUCCUCCUGGAAGUCCUUUUUUACCCAACACGAGGCAUUUCAGCCUGAAUUGGAAGCGGAGUUGGCUGGGGUAAUGUCAAUAUUUUGAGUUUGCUGCUUCAAGUCGUUAAAAAGAAGUAGCAGUAAAAAUCCAGCUUAUCCCGGUGGCUUUAGGAGCAAGGACAACCUUUACUCGUGUGAGUAAUUGGAAGCAAUAGGUUCUUCGAGACCGAGAGUAACCUGUGGGCGUGGGGCUGUAAUUAAUUCUGUA